rnacentral:rRNA from 1 species
AAAAACAUGGCUCCUCGAUUUGUUAUUUAUGGGGAGUCGGACCUGCCCAGUGAAUAAUAAGUUUUUAACGGCCGCGGUAUUUUGACUGUGCGAAGGUAGCAUAAUCAUUUGCUCUAUAAUUGAGGGCUAGUAUGAAUGGUUUGACGUGAGCAAAGCUGUCUCUACAUUAAUUUUUUAGAAUUUGAUUUUUAGGUGAAGAAACCUAAAUUCUAUUAAAAGACAAGAAGACCCUAUUGAGCUUUAAGAGAGUAGGCGAAUUGGGGGCUAUUAAUUAAUAAGUCUAUUUGUCUAAUAUUUUGGUUGGGGCGACUGAGGAACAUAUAAAGCUUCCUUCACUAUUUAGAAUUUUACAAAUAUUGAUCCAAGCAUUUUGAUUAAGGGAAUUAGUUACCAUAGGGAUAACAGCAUAAUUCCCUUUGAGAGUUCCUAUCGAAAAGGGAGUUUGUGACCUCGAUGUUGGACUAAAAUUUCCUAAAGAUGUAGUAGUCUUUGAGGGUUGGUCUGUUCGACCAUUAAAAUUUUACGUGAUCUGA